rnacentral:piRNA from 1 species
UGGGGGUUGGCCCUAAGGACCUGAU